AACUCUGAGCGAUGGAUCACUCGGCUCAUGCGUUGAUGAAGAACACAGCUAGCUGUGGGAAUUAAUGUGAAUUGCAGGACACAUUGAACAUCGACACUUCAAACGCACUUUGCAGCCCCGGGUUACUCCCAGGGCUACUCCUGUCUGAGGGUCG